CCUACGGGAGACAGCAGUGAGGAAUAUUGGUCAAUGGCCGGAAGGCUGAACCAGUCAUGCCGCGUGAAGGUCAGUGCCCUAUGGGCGUUAAACUUCUUUUGUGCGGGAGCAAUAAUGGUCACGUGUGGCCAGACGAGAGUUCCGUAAGAAUAAGCAUCGGCUUACUUCGGGCCAGCAGCCGCGGUAAUACGGGGGAUGCAAGCGUUAUCCGGAUUUAGUGGGUUUAAAGGGUGAGUAGGCUGUGAGGUAAGUCAGCGGUGAAAUGCCUCCGCUCAACGGGGUGAAGUUCCAUUGAUACUGCCUUGCUGGAAUGCGGAUGCCGUGGGAGGAAUGUGUGGUGUAGCGGUGAAAUGCAUAGAUAUCACACAGAACACCGAUUGCGAAGGCAUCUCACGAAUCCGCGAUUGACGCUGAUGCACGAAAGCGUGGGUAUCAAACAGGAUUAGAUACCCGAGUAGUC
rnacentral:rRNA from 1 species